GGGGGCGAUCGGUUUCGACUGGAAGCUUUCCUGGUUUUGGUUGCGUGCCGAGGUUGCGGAGAUGGCCUCGUUAAACCCUUCGCAAGGCAUUAACUGCCGACAAUAAUUACGCUCUAGCUGCUUAAUGCAGCGCACCCAUGAGUUCUUCGCCCGCUGGGGCUUUUGGGUGAAUGAUCGCGGGCUUAGCUGCGUGGACCUGGCUCGGGGUCACAACGCGAAAUUCAAUGAGCUGGUUUUCGGUCGCGCUGGUCCCAGGGCCUGAUUGGAAAUGAGAAUUGACCUGAGACUACGCACGUAGACGCUCUGAUCGGGCCUUUACAGGACGCGGGUUCGAUUCCCGCCGCCUCCACCA
rnacentral:tmRNA from 1 species